AAUAGAUACCCCGGUAGUCCACGCCGUAAACGAUGAGUGCUAGGUGUUAGGGGGUUUCCGCCCCUUAGUGCUGCAGCUAACGCAUUAAGCACUCCGCCUGGGGAGUACGGUCGCAAGACUGAAACUCAAAGGAAUUGACGGGGGCCCGCACAAGCGGUGGAGCAUGUGGUUUAAUUCGAAGCAACGCGAAGAACCUUACCAGGUCUUGACAUCCCGCUGACCGCCAUGGAGACAUGGCCUUCCCUUCGGGGACAGCGGUGACAGGUGGUGCAUGGUUGUCGUCAGCUCGUGUCGUGAGAUGUUGGGUUAAGUCCCGCAACGAGCGCAACCCUUGUCCUUAGUUGCCAUCAUUCAGUUGGGUCACUCUAAGGAGACUGCCGUACAAAUACGGAGGAAGGUGGGGAGUGACGUCAAAUCAUCAUGCCCGUUACUGACCUGGGCUACACACGUGCUACAAUGGGUGGUACAAAGGGCAGCAAACCCGCGAGGGGAGCGAAUCCCAAAAACGCCACUCUCAGUUCGGAUUGCAGGCUGCGAACUCCG
rnacentral:rRNA from 1 species